rnacentral:siRNA from 1 species
UGAUCCAAAGGUCUAUAGAUC